rfam:Triticum aestivum genome assembly, contig: Triticum_aestivum_CS42_TGACv1_scaffold_578368_7BL
GUACUACUUCCUCCGUUCUAAAUAAUUUGACUUUCAUUUGUCUAGAUACGAAUGUAUCUAUACUUGUUUAGUGUCUAGAUACAUCCGUAUUUAGACAAAGGUCGAGUAAUUUGGAACGGAGGAAGUACUAC